CCUACGAGGCGCUGCAGUGAGGAAUAUUGGUCAAUGGACGCAAGUCUGAACCAGCCAUGCCGCGUGCAGGAUGACGGCUCUAUGAGUUGUAAACUGCUUUUGUACGAGGGUAAACCCCGAUACGUGUAUCGGGUUGAAAGUAUCGUACGAAUACGGAUCGGCUAACUCCGUGCCAGCAGCCGCGGUAAUACGGAGGAUCCGAGCGUUAUCCGUAUUUAUUGGGUUUAAAGGGUGCUUAGGCGGUUUGAUAAGUUAGAGGUGAAAGUUCGGGGCUCAACCCCGAAACUUCCUCUAAUACUGUUGGACUAGAGAAUAGUUGCGGUAGGCGGAAUGUAUGGUGUAGCGGUGAAAUGCUUAGAGAUCAUACAGAACACCGAUUGCGAAGGCAGCUUACCAAACUAUAUCUGACGUUGAGGCACGAAAGCGUGGGUAGCAAACAGGAUUAGAUACCCGUGUAGUC
rnacentral:rRNA from 1 species